rnacentral:rRNA from 1 species
CUGCAUGAAGCUGGAAUCGCUAGUAAUCGUAGAUCAGAAUGCUGCGGUGAAUACGUUCCCGGGUCUUGUACACACCGCCCGUCACACCAUGGGAGUUGGAAAUGCCCGAAGUCAGUGACCGAACCGAAAGGAAGGAGCUGCCGAAGGUGGAGCCGAUGACUGGGUGAAGUCGUAACAAGGUAUC